rnacentral:tRNA from 1 species
GGUUGUAGCCCAAUGGUAGAGCGCUUGCCUAGCAUGUGUGAGGCACUGGGUUCGGUCCUCAGCACCA